UGGAGUACAGUUCAGUGGUAGAACACUUGCCUAGCAAGUGGAAGAAGGCCUAGGUUCCAUCCCUAGCACUGCAU
rnacentral:tRNA from 1 species